CUCGAGUGGCGAACGGGUGAGUAACACGUGGGUGAUCUGCCCUGCACUUCGGGAUAAGCUUGGGAAACUGGGUCUAAUACCGGAUAGGAACCAUCUUUAGUGUGGUGGUUGGAAAGUUUUUUCGGUGUAGGAUGAGCUCGCGGCCUAUCAGCUUGUUGGUGGGGUAAUGGCCUACCAAGGCGGCGACGGGUAGCCGGCCUGAGAGGGUGUACGGCCACAUUGGGACUGAGAUACGGCCCAGACUCCUACGGGAGGCAGCAGUGGGGAAUAUUGCACAAUGGGCGCAAGCCUGAUGCAGCGACGCCGCGUGGGGGAUGAAGGCCUUCGGGUUGUAAACUCCUUUCGCUAGGGACGAAGCUUUUUGGUGACGGUACCUAGAUAAGAAGCACCGGCUAACUACGUGCCAGCAGCCGCGGUAAUACGUAGGGUGCGAGCGUUGUCCGGAAUUACUGGGCGUAAAGGGCUCGUAGGUGGUUUGUCGCGUCGUCUGUGAAAUUCUGGGGCUUAACUCCGGGCGUGCAGGCGGUACGGGCAUAACUUGAGUGCUGUAGGGGUAACUGGAAUUCCUGGUGUAGCGGUGAAAUGCGCAGAUAUCAGGAGGAACACCGAUGGCGAAGGCAGGUUACUGGGCAGUUACUGAC
rnacentral:rRNA from 1 species